AAUAAGCGCAGCCAUGAGUUUCCGCGUCCAAUUUUGAUCGUCCGUCUUAUUUAAAUUUUUUUUUUUAUAAUUAGCAUUUUUGUUGUUAUGAGAUGAUAAAACAUAAAUAGUACUUUACUCGCAACUUCUGUUUUUAAUUUUUUUAAAAAAGUUUUCAAAUAAGACAAACGGUCAAAAUUGGGCACAGAAAAUCAUGGCUGUACUUAUU
rfam:Oryza sativa (indica cultivar-group) chromosome 11, whole genome shotgun sequence.